GAGUAAGGGUGCUCAGCGCCCGACCUCCGACCCUUUGUUGUUAAAACUACCUUGUUGCUUUGGCGGGACCGCUCGGUCUCGUGCCGCUGGGGAUUCGUCCCAGGCAAGCGCCCGCCAGAGUUAAACCAAACUCUUGUUAUUUAACCGGUCGUCUGAGUUAAAAUUUUGAAUAAAUCAAAACUUUCAACAACGGAUCUCUUGGUUCU
rnacentral:misc_RNA from 1 species